AUUGAACGCUGGCGGAAUGCUUUACACAUGCAAGUCGAACGGCAGCACGGACUUCGGUCUGGUGGCGAGUGGCGAACGGGUGAGUAAUGUAUCGGAACGUGCCCAGUCGUGGGGGAUAACGUAGUGAAAAUUACGCUAAUACCGCAUACGAUCUAUGGAUGAAAGCGGGGGAUCGCAAGACCUCGCGCGAUUGGAGCGGCCGAUAUCAGAUUAGGUAGUUGGUGGGGUAAAGGCCCACCAAGCCAACGAUCUGUAGCUGGUCUGAGAGGACGACCAGCCACACUGGAACUGAGAGACGGUCCAGACUCCUACGGGAGGCAGCAGUGGGGAAUUUUGGACAAUGGGUGAAAGCCUGAUCCAGCCAUUCCGCGUGCAGGAUGAAGGCCCUCGGGUUGUAAACUGCUUUUGUACAGAACGAAAAGGUUUCUACUAAUACUAGGAGCUCAUGACGGUACUGUAAGAAUAAGCACCGGCCAACUACGUGCCAGCCGCCGCAGUAA
rnacentral:rRNA from 1 species